rnacentral:rRNA from 1 species
AUUGAACGCUGGCGGCAGGCCUAACACAUGCAAGUCGAGCGGGGUUUUCGGACCUAGCGGCGGACGGGUGAGUAAUGCGUAGGAAGCUGCCCGAUAGAGGGGGAUACCAGUUGGAAACGACUGUUAAUACCGCAUAAUGUCUACGGACCAAAGUGUGGGACCUUCGGGCCACAUGCUAUCGGAUGCGCCUACGUGGGAUUAGCUAGUUGGUGAGGUAAUGGCUCACCAAGGCGACGAUCUCUAGCUGGUUUGAGAGGAUGAUCAGCCACACUGGAACUGAAACACGGUCCAGACUCCUACGGGAGGCAGCAGUGGGGAAUAUUGGAAAAUGGGCGCAAGCCUGAUCCAGCCAUGCCGCGUGUGUGAAGAAGGCCUUCGGGUUGUAAAGCACUUUCAGCGAGGAGGAAGGGUGGUGUGUUAAUAGCACAUCAUUUUGACGUUACUCGCAGAAGAAGCACCGGCUAACUCUGUGCCAGCCGCCGCGGUAAAAC